UUUGACAGCUACUGCAGAAUGUGAUGUCAACAUUAUAGAGAAUUAUGAAAAUGAUCACCAUCAUGUACAGGUUAUUUACAUCAGAUUUCCCAGGAUGUGCUGUAUAACUGUCUAAAUGAUGAAGAAAAUGAAGAUUGAUUGCUAAUCUACAGGAUCCAGAUCCAGAUGACGUAUUUUAAAGUGUAGCUUUGGAAAAGAAGAGGUUAUCCCCACUAUACAGAUUUUCAUAAGGUGAUAUGCAGUUGUUAAGAAGAAAGUGAAGAAAUCAACUUCUUACAGAUAUACUCCUUUUGUGAAUAUUUGGACCCUGCUCUACACAGAGACAAUGAAAGAAUUCAGAACCCAGUGUUAAGAGAGAUCUCCCUGACUGAGGAAAUCCACACGGGAUUCUGUUAUAAAACAUCAGGAUAAAGAAAUAAAUGUCUGCUGUAAAUAAUGUAUAGAGCAGUGUACCAGAAAUCUGUCAGAGUGAGAGGUGUUAGUC